rnacentral:misc_RNA from 1 species
GGCCUGGCCGAUGUUCCCGUGCAGGCCUGACGUCGACGAGACGUUGAUGAUCGAGCGGUUUUCGGUAUUGCCCUUGAUGCGCAUAUGAGGCGCAGCGGCGCGGACGAGUCGGAAUGGUGCACGGACGUGAACGCGAAUAAUGAUGUCCCAGGCGUCAUCGGGCGUGGUGUGCAGCAUGCGGUCGUACGUGAAGCCCGCGUUGUUCACGAUGUGGUUGAUCUUGCCGAACUUCUGGAUGGUGG